rnacentral:rRNA from 1 species
UACGUAGGGGGCUAGCGUUGUCCGGAAUCAUUGGGCGUAAAGCGCGCGUAGGCGGCCCGGUAAGUCCGCUGUAAAAGUCAAAGGCUCAACCUUUGAAUGUCAGUUGAUACUGCCGGGCUAGAGUCCGGAAGAGGCGAGUGGAAUUCCUGGUGUAGCGGUGGAAUGCGCAGAUAUCAGGAGGAACACCAACGGCGAAGGCAGCUCGCUAGGACGGUACUGACGCUAAGGCGCGAAAGCGUGGGGAGCGAACAGG